GCGGAUAAGCAAAAUCUAUGUGAUAAAGUCCUGAAAUUCGAAUAUUUUUCUGCUAAGGGGCACCGUAGAUUUUUAUUCAACCUCAGGCCCGUCUGACAUUUCAUUUGGGGAAGUCUGAGGAAGUUGGUGAGGGCUUCUGUUAAUAAAAACAAGUGCCUCUCUUUUUUUGCUUAUCACCUCCCAGUAUCUGCUCUGCUGGCUCCCGCAGUGUGGUCUGGCUUCGCUCUCCCUGGACGUCACAUUGUGUUUUAGAACUCUCUUUACUAUGACCCACAAACAGGUUUCAGACUUUAGGCUGAGGAGCCAAAGGUAAGACCAUGAAUCAACAGUGAGACAACAUCUCGGCUUUUCUGACUUCAGCCUUCCCUGAAAGCCGCUUGGAAUCUGCCUCUGAAUUCAGCUAGAUGUGUUUAUUUCCCUCCUGCUUUCCUAUCCUCUCCUACUUCCAACCUACUGUGUCCUACUCCCCUUUAAUUUUAAUUUUUGUCCUUUGAGUAUCACUGAUGGGGAAAUAGUUACUCAGUUCGUCAGAGGCUGGGUGGUGAGGUCACAGAUUCUGAGAUUAGCCUGUAAUUUGUAACCGUUUCAGACGGAUGACAGCAAGAUUUUGCUUGCUUAUUUCUGAGCUGUUUUUGGUUGGUCUUUUAAAUGCAGUUUAAUAGUGAGUAAUAAAGAAGUGGGGUUUUUUGUUUGUUUGUUUAUAUCUUAUCUAUCUGUCAGGGAGCUGCUGAACAAAACCCGGAACACAACAGCAAAUAGAGAUGAGCUUCAGUGGGCAUAUGUCACAUUUCUUGUCUGGUGGUGAACUGGACAUUGCACAAAAGAAAACAAAAUAAGGGAGUUCAUGAUGUGGCACAUAGCAAAUGAAUCCGACUCGGAACCAUGAGGCUGCAGGUUCGAUCCCUGGCCUCGCUCAGUGGGUUAAGGAUCCAGCGUGGCCGUGAGCUGUGGUGUAGGUCGCAGACGUGGCUCAGAUCUGGCGUUGCUGUGGCUGUGGUGUAGGCCAGCAGCUAUAGCUCCGAUUCCAUCCCUAGACUCCAUGUGCCAUGGGUGCGGGAACCUCCAUGUGCCAUGGGUGUGGCCCUAAAAAGCAAAAAAAAAAAA
rnacentral:lncRNA from 1 species